rnacentral:rRNA from 1 species
CCUACGGGUGGCAGCAGUGGGGAAUAUUGGACAAUGGGCGAAAGCCUGAUCCAGCCAUGCCGCGUGUGUGAAGAAGGCCUUCGGGUUGUAAAGCACUUUCAGUGGGGAAGAAAGCCUUGGGGCUAAUACCCUCGAGGAAGGACAUCACCCACAGAAGAAGCACCGGCUAACUCCGUGCCAGCAGCCGCGGUAAUACGGAGGGUGAGAGCGUUAAUCGGAAUUACUGGGCGUAAAGCGCGCGUAGGCGGUCUGAUAAGCCGGUUGUGAAAGCCCCGGGCUCAACCUGGGAACGGCAUCCGGAACUGUCAGGCUAGAGUGCAGGAGAGGAAGGUAGAAUUCCCGGUGUAGCGGUGAAAUGCGUAGAGAUCGGGAGGAAUACCAGUGGCGAAGGCGGCCUUCUGGACUGACACUGACGCUGAGGUGCGAAAGCGUGGGUAGCAAACAGGAUUAGAUACCCUAGUAGUC